rfam:Clostridiales bacterium KA00274 genomic scaffold Scaffold9, whole genome shotgun sequence.
UCAGAUUAGUGAAUAAACGCGCUACUUAGCUGAAAAGCUAAGUAGUGAGGAAAGUCCGAGCACCACGAUCAAAAACGCCAGAUAACGUCUGGUAAAGGUGACUUUAAGGAUAGUGCAACAGAAAUAGACAGCAGCUUAGGCUGUGAUGGUGGAAAGGCGAGGUAAGAGCUCACCGGAACUGAUAGGAGUCAGUUGCCCUGUAAACCCCGUUUGGUGCAACACUGUGGAAAGCGAUAAUAUGAUCGUAACGCUUUAGGAGGUGGCUUUCGAGCUAGUUGGCAACAACUAGAAUAGAUAAAUGUUUAUUCACGACAGAACUCGGCUUAUAGCUAGUCUGAGAUG